GACGAACGCUGGCGGCGUGCCUAAUACAUGCAAGUCGAGCGAAGUUUUUCUGGUGCUUGCACUAGAAAAACUUAGCGGCGAACGGGUGAGUAACACGUAAAGAACCUGCCUCAUAGACUGGGACAACUAUUGGAAACGAUAGCUAAUACCGGAUAACGGUAUUUCUCGCAUGAGAGAUAUUUAAAAGUUGGUUAUGCUAACACUAUGAGAUGGCUUUGCGGUGCAUUAGCUAGUUGGUGGGGUAAAGGCCCACCAAGGCGACGAUGCAUAGCCGACCUGAGAGGGUGAUCGGCCACACUGGGACUGAGACACGGCCCAGACUCCUACGGGAGGCAGCAGUAGGGAAUCUUCCGCAAUGGGCGAAAGCCUGACGGAGCAACGCCGCGUGAGUGAAGAAGGAUUUCGGUUCGUAAAGCUCUGUUGUUAGGGAAGAAUGGAUAUGUAGUAACUAUACAUAUAAGAGACGGUACCUAACCAGAAAGCCACGGCUAACUACGUGCCAGCAGCCGCGGUAAUACGUAGGUGGCAAGCGUUGUCCGGAAUUAUUGGGCGUAAAGCGCGCGCAGGUGGUUUAAUAAGUCUGAUGUGAAAGCCCACGGCUCAACCGUGGAGGGUCAUUGGAAACUGUUAAACUUGAGUGCAGGAGAGAAAAGUGGAAUUCCUAGUGUAGCGGUGAAAUGCGUAGAGAUUAGGAGGAACACCAGUGGCGAAGGCGGCUUUUUGGCCUGUAACUGACACUGAGGCGCGAAAGCGUGGGAAGCAAACAGG
rnacentral:rRNA from 1 species